rnacentral:rRNA from 1 species
UAAAUGCAGGCAUGAGUAGCGAAAGCAGAGUGAGAAACUCUGCCGCCGAAUGACCAAGGGUUCCUGGGCCAGGUUAAUCCGCCCAGGGUGAGUCGGGACCCAAGGCGAGGCCGACAGGCGUAGUCGAUGGACAACGGGUUGAUAUUCCCGUACCCGUGUAUCCGCGCCCAGUGGCGAAUCAAUUGUACUAACCAUCCAAAUCCCAAUGGACCACCUUCGGGUGGCCGGCGGGUGCUGCAUGGGACCUCGGUUGUAGUAGUCAAGCGAUGGGGUGACGCAGGAAGGUAGUGGAGCCAGUCGAUGGUAGUGCUGGUGUAAGCCCGUAGGGAGGGACAUAGGCAAAUCCGUGUCCCACAUAUCCUGAGAGGUGAUGCGUAGCCGUAGCGGCGAAAUCCAUGAUCCUAUGCUGCCGAGAAAAGCCUCUAGCGAGCUGGUACAUGGCCCGUACCCCAAACCGACACAGGUGGUCAGGUAGAGAAUACUAAGGCGAUCGAGAGAACUGUGGUUAAGGAACUCGGCAAAAUGCCCCCGUAACUUCGGGAGAAGGGGGACCAGUCCUGGUGACGACAUUUACUGUCUGAGCUGGGGUUGGUCGCAGAGACCAGAGAGAAGCGACUGUUUACUAAAAACACAGGUCCGUGCGAAGUCGUAAGACGAUGUAUACGGACUGACGCCUGCCCGGUGCUGGAAGGUUAAGAGGACCGGUCAGCCACUUCGGUGGCGAAGCUGAGAAUUCAAGCCCCAGUAAACGGCGGUGGUAACUAUAACCAUCCUAAGGUAGCGAAAUUCCUUGUCGGGUAAGUUCCGACCUGCACGAAUGGCGUAACGACUUCUCUGCUGUCUCAACCACAGACUCGGCGAAAUUGCAGUACGAGUAAAGAUGCUCGUUACGCGCGGCAGGACGAAAAGACCCCGGGACCUUCACUAUAGCUUGGUAUUGGUGUUCGGUUCGGUUUGCGUAGGAUAGGUGGGAGACUGUGAAACUUGCACGCCAGUGUGGGUGGAGUCAUUGUUGAAAUACCACUCUGACCGUAUUGGACAUCUAACCUCGGACCAUGAUCUGGUUCAGGGACAGUGCCUGGUGGGUAGUUUAACUGGGGCGGUUGCCUCCCAAAAAGUAACGGAGGCGCCCAAAGGUUCCCUCAGCCUGGUUGGCAAUCAGGUGUUGAGUGUAAGUGCACAAGGGAGCUUGACUGUGAGACGUACAUGUCGAGCAGGGACGAAAGUCGGGACUAGUGAUCCGGCACCGGCAAGUGGAAGCGGUGUCGCUCAACGGAUAAAAGGUACCCCGGGGAUAACAGGCUGAUCUUCCCCAAGAGUCCAUAUCGACGGGAUGGUUUGGCACCUCGAUGUCGGCUCGUCGCAUCCUGGGGCUGGAGUAGGUCCCAAGGGUUGGGCUGUUCGCCCAUUAAAGCGGCACGCGAGCUGGGUUUAGAACGUCGUGAGACAGUUCGGUCUCUAUCCGCCGCGCGCGUAAGAAACUUGAGGAAACCUGUCCCUAGUACGAGAGGACCGGGACGGACGAACCUCUGGUGUGCCAGUUGUUCCACCAGGAGCACCGCUGGUUAGCUACGUUCGGAAGGGAUAACCGCUGAAAGCAUCUAAGCGGGAAGCCUGUUCCAAGAUGAGGUUUCUCACCACCUAGCGUGGUUAAGGCCCCCCACAGACCAUGGGGUUGAUAGGCCAGAACUGUAAGCACAGCAAUGUGUUCAGGUGACUGGUACUAAUCGGCCGAGGACUUACAACA